GUCACGCCCCAAACCCGAGGCAUAACAGACGCCGCAUAUCUACUAAAUUAGUAAAUAUGCAAGGCUACAGAAUCAGAUAGAUAACAUGCAAAAGAUAAUCACAAAAUUUCGAUUAAAUCUAAAUAGUCAAAAGAUGAAACUAACAGUUCAGUUCCAACUAGUGUCAAAUGAAAUAUCAUAUAAGCAGAACUAAAGUUUAAUAUGCCAAGCAAACAGAAUUUGGUCUAAAGAUACUGUAAAUAACAAAUGUGGGUGCGAAGAAAUAACAAGUGAACGUAGAUAAACAAAUCAUUAUUUACGAAGUUCGAAACUCAUAUCUAAAUGCAAUAGAAAUAAGACGAAAGGGCUAGAAUCAGAUCUAGCUACAUCUAACGUUCACUCGCUCCUAGCCCCGCCCUGCGAAUUGGUCUCAGUACCUGGGUAAGCAACCAUACACCACAUUAGUCGGAUUAAGCAUACAAAUAAUUAAAUAUACAAAUUAAUUUAAGUGACUGGUUUUUAAUUUGCAAGGUUUCGAAAGUAAGAAUUAUCAAAAUUUAAAAAUUCAGAUCAAAUUGAAACUAUAAAUUUACAAAGCAUUUCUCUUUCAACAUAUAAACGAAGUAAACAUUAAGUCCCCGGCACUUAACUAUAUCAUAUGAUCCGUUGGCGAGAUCCAAAGACACCCAAAGGCGUAAACAAAACAGAGGCACCCGAAGGUGCAACAAAACAAAGGCGCGGAUAGGCGCAGGCACCCGAAGGCGCAAACAAAACAGAGGCGCGGAUAGGCGCAGGCACCCGAAGGCGCAAUACAAAGACGAAGCUUGCUUCUAUAACAAAAUACAUGUCGACAUGGCCAACAUAGCAUAGCAGAAUACCAGGAGACAUUAUAAUUCAAA
rnacentral:lncRNA from 1 species